CGGGCUAGUGGCGGACGGGUGAGUAACACGUGGGUAACCUGCCUCGUAGUGGGGAAUAACUCGCCGAAAGGCGAGCUAAUACCGCAUAACACCCUCGGUGAGAAUCCGAGUGGUAAAAGCUCCGGCGCUAUGAGAGGGGCCCGCGGCCGAUUAGCUUGUUGGUGGGGUAACGGCCUACCAAGGCGACGAUCGGUAGCUGGUCUGAGAGGAUGGUCAGCCACACGGGGACUGAGAUACGGCCCCG
rnacentral:rRNA from 1 species